rnacentral:rRNA from 1 species
GACGAACGCUGGCGGCGUGCCUAAUACAUGCAAGUCGAACGCAGUGGGGACGGGUGAGUAACACGUUGGUAACCUCCCAUCAGAGGGGAUAACACUUGGAAACAGGUGCUAAACCGAUACUGAUGGAUGGACCCGCGGUGCAUUAGCUAGUUGGUGAGGUAACGGCUGACCAAGGCCAGGAUGCAUAGCCAACCUGAGAGGGUGAUCGGCAACACGGGGACUGAGACAAGGCCCAGAUUGCUACGUGCGACAGCAGUAAGGAAUCUUCUGCAAUGGACGAAAGGCGAACCGAGCAACGCCGCGGGAGUGAAGAAGAUUUUCGGAUCGUAGAACUCUGUUGUUGGAGAAACGGUAUCUGACCAGAAAGCCACGGCUAACUACGUGCCAGCAGCCGCGGUAAUAC